rnacentral:rRNA from 1 species
GAUGAACGCUGGCGGCGUGCCUAAUACAUGCAAGUCGAGCGAACAGACGAGGAGCUUGCUCCUCUGACGUUAGCGGCGGACGGGUGAGUAACACGUGGAUAACCUACCUAUAAGACUGGGAUAACUUCGGGAAACCGGAGCUAAUACCGGAUAAUAUAUUGAACCGCAUGGUUCAAUAGUGAAAGACGGUUUUGCUGUCACUUAUAGAUGGAUCCGCGCCGCAUUAGCUAGUUGGUAAGGUAACGGCUUACCAAGGCAACGAAGCGUAGCCGACCUGAGAGGGGGGAGCGGCCCCCUGGGACAUGGCACACGGUCCAGACCCCGAGGGGAGGCCGGAGUGGGGAAUUUUCCGAAAUGGGCGAAAGUUUGAGGGACCAACCCCGGGUGAGUGAUGAAGGUUUUGGGUUUGUAAAACUUUUUUAUUAGGAAAAAAAAAAUGUUUAAGUAACUAUCCCCCCCUGGACGGUACCAAAAAAGAAAGCCACGGUAAAUUACUG